AGUGAACGCUGGCGGCGUGCCUAACACACGCAAGUCGAACGACGAUGGAUGAGCUUGCUCAUCCUGAUUAGUGGCGCACGGGUGAGUAUACCAUAGAUAAUGUACCCCUUAGUUCGGGAUAGCCACUGGAAACGGUGAUUAAUACCGGAUAAUCCUUCUUGCCAUAAGGUAAGUCGGGAAAGUUUUUUCGCUAAGGGAUCAGUCUAUGUCCUAUCAGGUAGUUGGUGAGGUAACGGCUCACCAAGCCUAUGACGGGUAUCUGGUUUGAGAGGAUGAUCAGACACACUGGAACUGAGACACGGUCCAGACUCCUACGGGAGGCAGCAGUGAGGAAUAUUGCACUAUGGAGGAAACUCUGAUGCAGCAACGCCGCGUGGAGGAUGACGCAUUUCGGUGUGUAAACUCCUUUUAAGAGGGAAGAUUAUGACGGUACCUCUUGAAUAAGCACCGGCUAACUCCGUGCCAGCAGCCGCGGUAAAAC
rnacentral:rRNA from 1 species